rnacentral:lncRNA from 1 species
CCCCAUUAAGGUUCCAAGUGACAUGGAAAUAGAAGAAUUUUCCUUGUGGUGUAAAUUCCCCCCUCCCCCGCAGCUUUCAGAACUUUAGAAUUUGCAUUCUGUUUUACCAAUUUCUUUCUUCAUUUUCUCUCCCCAAUACAAUUCGCUCAUUUGCCUAAACUUCUGUUCAAUGUUUAUAAAAAUGAUAGCCGUAUUGCAUGACUGUUCCACGACUGGAUAGAUUAUGAAGAUGGGUACUUUUAGCUAUAUGGUGGGAGUGUGCAGGAAUUUUCAGCGGUGGUAUGGGAGGGGAACCAGUAGGUUUCAUAACGGAAAUACGGAGUCUCAUCGUUUCCAUUUUCCGAGGCGGAAGAGGCUACUUCAGUUUCAGGCCCGUCCAGCCGAGCAGACCCGGGCCUCCUGAAAGUCGCAGAUUCUGGCUCUGUGGGAGGUCCUUCUGGAAACAGCACACACAGAGCUCAGCCGUGAAGCUCCUGGGAGGAAGGCGAGGGGGCCCGGUCCUUCCGGACACUAUUGUUUCCUCUAAAUACUUCAUUCCCCCCCAGGUUCAGGAGGCGGCAUUGUAGGGGACACCUGCUCUUUUCAUCUGCCAGAAUCCCAUCCAACACUCAUUUGGGGAGAGCAUCCCCCUUCCAAUGGGGAAUAAUCCUCUGUGACUCAGGGAUCUCCAGUGGGGCUGCCACUCCCAGCAUUCCACGCCCCUGGCUGUGGGGUGGCUGCACAAUCAGGACUGGCCACAGAUGUUCUCUCCCUGUUCCUGACCACAUUAACUGCACUACGGAUGGACAUGUGACUUGAACCAGGUCAGUUAGAAUCCUUUCCUACAAUAUUAUUUACAGAUGGUAAAAGCAAGAAGGCCUCUCUUCCCCUGGGAUCACUAGCUGAGACGAUUGAAGUCUGGAGCUGUCCCUGGUAAUACUCUCCCCACCUCCAGCCUAUGGAGGAAGCUCGUAUGUAAUAGGAGAGAAUAAGAUCAAAACAUGGAGAAAUCAGGGAGAGAAAGAGUAGGCGCAAAGUGAGAAUGAGUGUGAAAGAGAGAUGAUGAUUCUGAACUCCUGGAUCCAGUCGUUCCUGAAGCCCUAUCCUUUCCCUAUCUUAAGGUGGGAGUCAGUACAUUAGUUUUUUUCAAGCUAGUUUGAUUUGGGGUUUUGUUAUUUGUAUCUAAAAGUCUUGACCAAUACAGGAAGUAGGUCCAUAAGGGCAGUAACUGCUUUGUACUUCAGGAGUAUUAAUUCAUAUUCCAGCUUAGACUUACCAUCUGGAGUAGUGUCUGGCACAUGGCAAGUACUCAAGAAAUAUGUGUUGAAAGAGGGAUAACUCCUUGAUAAUUGCUAAGCUCUUUGGUAAUUCUCUUGACUUCCUG